GACGAACGCUGGCGGCGUGCUUAACACAUGCAAGUCGAACGGAGUGGCGAACGGGUGAGUAACACGUGGGUGACCUGCCCUGCACUUCGGGAUAAGCCUGGGCAACUGGGUCUAAUACCGGAUAGUGUGGGAUGGGCCCGCGGCCUAUCAGCUUGUUGGUGGGGUAAUGGCCUACCAAGGCGGCGACGGGUAGCCGGCCUGAGAAGUUGGACGGCCACAUUGGGACUGAGACACGGCCCAGACGCGUACGGGAGGCAGCAGUGGGGAAUAUGGCACAAUGGGGGGACGCGUGAUGCAGCGACGCCGGGUGGGGGAUGACGGCCUGCGGGUUGUAAACUACUUUCACCAUCGACGCGGUAGAUGGAGAAGAAGCACCGGCUAACUACGUGCCAGCCGCCGCGGUAAUUC
rnacentral:rRNA from 1 species